CGCACAAGCGGUGGAUGAUGUGGAUUAAUUCGAUUCAACGCGAAAAACCUUACCUACCCUUGACAUGCCAGGAACUUGCCAGAGAUGGCUUGGUGCCCGAAAGGGAACCUGGACACAGGUGCUGCAUGGCUGUCGUCAGCUCGUGUCGUGAGAUGUUGGGGUUAAGUCCCGCAACGAGCGCAACCCUUGUCAUUAGUUGCCAUCAUUUAGUUGGGCACUCUAAUGAGACUGCCGGUGACAAACCGGAGGAAGGUGGGGAUGACGUCAAGUCCUCAUGGCCCUUAUGGGUAGGGCUUCACACGUCAUACAAUGGUCGGUACAGAGGGUUGCCAAGCCGCGAGGUGGAGCCAAUCCCAGAAAGCCGAUCGUAGUCCGGAUCGUAGUCUGCAACUCGACUACGUGAAGUCGGAAUCGCUAGUAAUCGCGGAUCAGCAUGUCGCGGUGAAUACG
rnacentral:rRNA from 1 species